AUGGGGUUUCACCAUGUUGGUCAGGUUGGUCUCGAACUCCUGACCUCAGGUGAUCGCCCGCCCCAGCCUCCCAAUAUGUUGGGAUUACAAGGCAUGAGCGACCGCACCUUAGCCACUAUUUUUAAGUUUUGUGUAGAGACAGCAUCUAGCUGUGUUACCCAGGCUGGUCUUGAACUCAUAGCCUCAAGUGAGCCUCCCACCUUGGCCUCCCAAGGUGCCGAGAUUAUCAAGGUGAGCUUCCAUGUCCAGACUUACAUUUCUCUGUGUGUGUGUGUGUGCGCGCGCAUGUGUGUGCGUGUGUGUGUGUGUGUGUGUUUUAAGCUACUAAGUCAUGGUAAUUUGUUACAGCAGCCAAAGGGAAUUAAUACAAUGAGUAAUAGGUAUGGGGGAGGAAAGGAGGAAAGGAAGUUACUUUUUAGCUGAAUACUUAAAGAGACUAGAUCCUUCCAUGGAGUCACUGUACAGUGUAGAGAUUCUGGGAGUUGGAAAACAGCUGUGAUAGUCUGUGGCAAGCAGAAUCCUAAGGAAGGUCAUGACCUCCACCCCUGGGUAUUGGGUGUUACUCUUGUGGUUAUGUAACCUUUUUUAUUUUAUUUCAUUUCAUUUCAUUUCAUUUUUUUGAGGCAGGGUCUCACUCUGUCACUCAGGCUGGAAUGCAAUGGCAUGAUUACAGCUCACUGCAGCCUCAAACUCCUGGGCUCAAGCAAUCCUCCCACCUCUACCUCCUGAGUAGCUAGGACUACAGGAGCACACCACCACAGUUGACGAACUUUUUAUUUUUUGUAGAGAUGAAGUCUUGCUAUGUUGCUAAGGCUAGUCUGAAAUUACCGGCCUCAAGCAGUCCUUUUGCCUUGUUCUCCCAAAGUGUUGGAUUACAGGCAUGAGCCACUGCAUCCAGCCGGCUAUAUUACUUUAUAUGGGAAAGGGACUUUGCAGAUAUAAUUAUAGUUACUAAUCGGUUGAUUUUAAGAUAGGGUGAUCAUCUGGUGGCCUAAUCACAUGAGCCCUUUAAAUGCAGAGAGUUGACUCCACCUGGUAGCCAAACAGGAUACAGUGAGACACAUUCCAGCUGGCUGGAGAAAAGCAAACAUUCGUGUUGUGAACUGCCAGUGAAGAGAGGUGGAUGGAAACCUUAGUCCUAUAGCCAUAAACAAAUGGAUUCUGCUAACAACCAGUGAGCCUGGAAGAGGAUCAUGAGGCCCAGGUGAGAAACAUGUCAGCCAAUAUCUGGAUUCUAGCCUUGUGAUGCCUUCAGUAAGAUCCCAGCCUCACUGUGCCCAACUUCUACCUAACCUACAGACCUGUAAACUAGUAAGUGGGUGUUGCUUGAGCUGCUACAUGUGUGGUCAUUUGCUACACAGCAACAGAUAACUAAUCUACAUCCCUAGGUAUUGAACUGACCAGGAGUGGGCAGGGAGGGUGCAGGCAGGAAAGAGUUCUCUCCAGCAUCCUGCCUCUACACAUUCCCAUCUGCCUCCACCACCUACUGCAUGCACCGCUAUAUGCCCAGGCUGUUGAGAAUCUACCAAAGCCCAGGACACAUUUUUUUAUUAUUCAAUUUAUCCAAGUUAAUCCUGAAGAAAUGAAGUUCUUAGUCUACCAGAGGUUCCUGUAAGCAGGUGCUAAAAUCAUGUGAUAUGGAAAAAUAACUUGGCCAGGCACAGUGGUUCACACCUGUAAUCCCAGCACUGUGGGAAGCCAAGGCAAGAGGAUCACUUGAGCCCAGGCAACAGCCACUGGGCAAUAGCCUGUAGAGAUGUAGACCUCAUCUCUACAAAACAUAAAUUAGCCGGGUGUGGUGGUAUCACUUGCCUGUUGGUCCCAGCUACUUGGGAGGCUAAGGUGGGAGGAUCACUUGAGCCCAGGAAUUCAAGGCUGCAGUAAGCUGUGAUCAUGCCACUGCACUCCAUCCUGGGCAGCAGAGCAAGACCCUAUCUUAAAAAAAAAAAAAAGAAAAGAAAAGAAAAGAAAAGAAGGCUGGGCAUGGUGGCUCAUGCUUAUAAUCCCAGCACUUUGGGAGGCCGAGGCAGGAGGAUCACCUGAGGUCGGGAGUUCGAGACCAGCAUGGCCAACAUGGAGAAACCCCAUCUCUACUAAAAAUACAAAAUUAGUCGGGUGUGGCGGCACAUGCCUGUAAUCCCAGCUACUCAGGAGGCUGAGGCAGGAGAAUCGCUUGAGCCUGGGAGGCGGAGGUUGCGGUGAGCCGAAAUGGCGCCACUGCACUCCAGCCUGGGCAACAAGAGCGAAACUCCGUCUCAAAAAAGAAAAAAAGAAAAAAAGAGAAAAGAAAAGAAACUUGCCCAUUCCCACCUGAAAUUCCAUGUUAUUGUGCAACACACACACACCAUGGUACAGCUAAAUGCUAAGAUGUAUUUUGCCCGCUUUUGAAGAACAAAAACCAUAGACAUUCACCACUUCAACCAAGAGGAAGAAAACUGCGCUGGAUCCACUCAGAAAUGAACUUUCUCUCCACGGACUCCAGCCCCACUCAUUUUCUUCGUCUCUGGAAUGAGCC
ensembl:lncRNA